AAGCGGUGGAUUAUGUGGUUUAAUUCGAUGAUACGCGAGGAACCUUACCAAGGCUUAAAUGGGAAAUGACAGGUUUAGAAAUAGACUUUUCUUCGGACAUUUUUCAAGGUGCUGCAUGGUUGUCGUCAGCUCGUGCCGUGAGGUGUUAGGUUAAGUCCUGCAACGAGCGCAACCCCUGUCACUAGUUGCCAUCAUUAAGUUGGGGACUCUAGUGAGACUGCCUACGCAAGUAGAGAGGAAGGUGGGGAUGACGUCAAAUCAUCACGGCCCUUACGCCUUGGGCCACACACGUAAUACAAUGGCCGGUACAGAGGGCAGCUACACAGCGAUGUGAUGCAAAUCUCGAAAGCCGGUCUCAGUUCGGAUUGGAGUCUGCAACUCGACUCUAUGAAGCUGGAAUCGCUAGUAAUCGCGCAUCAGCCAUGGCGCGGUGAAUACGUUCCCGGGCCUUGUACACACCGCCCGUCAAGCCAUGGAAGUCUGGGGUACCUGAAGUCGGUGACCGUAACAGGAGCUGCCUAGGGUAAAACAGGUAACUAGGGCUAAGUCGUAACAA
rnacentral:rRNA from 1 species